rnacentral:rRNA from 1 species
GAUGAACGCUGGCGGCGUGCCUAAUACAUGCAAGUCGAGCGAAUGGAUUAAGAGCUUGCUCUUAUGAAGUUAGCGGCGGACGGGUGAGUAACACGUGGGUAACCUGCCCAUAAGACUGGGAUAACUCCGGGAAACCGGGGCUAAUACCGGAUAAUAUUUUGAACUGCAUGGUUCAAAAUUGAAAGGCGGCUUCGGCUGUCACUUAUGGAUGGACCCGCGUCGCAUUAGCUAGUUGGUGAGGUAACGGCUCACCAAGGCAACGAUGCGUAGCCGACCUGAGAGGGUGAUCGGCCACACUGGGACUGGGACACGGCCCAGACUCCUACGGGAGGCAGCAGUAGGGAAUCUUCCGCAAUGGACGAAAGUCUGACGGAGCAACGCCGCGUGAGUGAUGAAGGCUUUCGGGUCGUAAAACUCUGUUGUUAGGGAAGAACAAGUGCUAGUUGAAUAAGCUGGCACUUUGACGGUACCUAACCAGAAAGCCACGGCUAACUACGUGCCAGCCGCCGCCGUAA